CGGAUGUGGGAGAUGAUGAUGAAGGGAGGUGCCAGGCACGGUCGAGAAUGAUACUCCACUAUCAGGUUGUAGCGCUGGAACUUCCAGUGCACGUCGCUGUGCUCCUGGACUUUACUGAACGUGUAGCUGCACACAGACACCAAGAGAGACAGACACUUACUGACCAGCGGCAAUCUACAGUCAGGUCAUUCAUACAGUCAUUUUCCCUGGGGACAAAGUAUUUUUGUCUAUUUAAGUCUGUCUGUGCCUGUCUGUCUGUCCAUGUAUGUCUGUCCGUCUGUGUCUGUCUGUCUCUAUUCAUAUCUGUCUGUCGAUCCAUGUCUGUCUGUUCCUGUUCAUGUCUGUCUGUCUGUCUCUUUCUGUUCCUGUCCGUGUCUGUCUCUGUUCGUCCAUAUCUGUCUGUCUGUCCAUGUCCCUGUCUGUCAGUCUGUGUCUGACCAUGUAUGUCUACCUGUCUGUCCAUCCAUGUCUGUCUGUCUCUCACUAUCAAACUUCAUUUACAAACACACUAACAUAUCGCAAAUCCACUAUUUCCAGUCAGACAGUCUAAUACUAAACCCACUAUACUCAUCAAACACUAAAACCCAUUAAACCCAGUAUACUGAGAAUCACUAAACACUGAGCUCACAGACACUAAACACACUAUAGCAGUGUGUGAAUAUAAUAUAAACCCGAAGCAGCCUGAUACCUGAACAUGGCAAUGAGCAGAUUCAGUAGCAGGACGUUGGUCACCAGCAGGUACACGGACAGCAGGAUGAGCACCAGCCAGUUCGCCUCGGACUGGGGACAGGGUUCAUCUCCUAGCUCUAUAAGGGUCACGUUGGUCGUGCAGGGCUUGUGUGUCCUCCUGUAGGCUGCGAAAUUCAGAAACAAUCACGGAAUCGUCAGCACAGGUUAGAACGUAAGAGCUCGCGAUCGUGAUUCUGUAUUCAUACACGCACCAUCAAUUUCUUCCAGGGGUAUCUGGCCGAAGAUGUGCAGGUACGGCCUGUAGAAGACUCUGCGAAUGACCCAGUAAGGUCGGGGGUCGUAGGAGUAUAUUAGCGCCUGAUUGGCUACGCCGUAGGCCAGCAGCCAGACGCCCAGGAAGAACAGGAAGAAGAACACGUCCUUUACCUGGAUGAAUAAAAGGAACAAAUAGAAACAGUUAAUCAUGCAUGGCUGAAUGUAAAAUUGUGAAUCUGAUGUUGUCGAUAAGACGUGUUUGGUGUCCAAUGUUUGCUUCUUUAGUUUAGUUACAUCAAAGCUGUAAGACUUCAAGUCUAUUUAAUGCCCAAAUCUUCUCAAACAACAUUGUUAAAGCUGUAUUAGGCAAUAUUUGGAUCGUAUUUACUAUUACAAACUGUGUGGACUAGACUAGUUGUUUUGUUUACGUCCUGUUAGUCUAGCACAGACUUAAAAUGAACCACUCAGCAAAAAUACCAUGAUAGUCCACGACUGGAGUCCAAACUGGAGUGAUUACCCAGACAGAGCCUUACGGAAAGACUGAAUGGAGGCUGUUAAAGCCACAAAGGGGCAAAGGGGCAAAGGGGAUGCCCAGAAAACUCAUGAUGUUUGUUGACGGCAAAGAUGUGAAUGAGUCGAAGAGUGAAGACCAUGUAGUCCACGCACAGUAUCGAACGGCCAAACUCAUACGACCAAGGAAACAUCCUGCAGCAUGCAUUCAGAGUUUAGUAAAGAAAACAUUAACAAGUAUACAUAAAUAUAUUAUGCAUAUUAAAACAUAUUAACAUGUG